UACAGAGGGUGCAAGCGUUGUUCGGAUUCACUGGGCGUAAAGGGUGCGUAGGUGGUGAGGUAAGUCGGAUGUGAAAGCUCGGAGCUCAACUCCGAAAUGGCAUUGGAAACUACCUUGCUCGAGGGUUGGAGGGGGGGCUGGAAUACUUGGUGUAGCAGUGAAAUGCGUAGAUAUCAAGUGGAACACCAGUGGCGAAGGCGAGUCCCUGGACAACUCCUGACACUGAGGCACGAAAGCUAGGGGAGCAAACAGG
rnacentral:rRNA from 1 species